UGGGGAAUUGUUCGCAAUGGGCGCAAGCCUGACGACGCAACGCCGCGUGGAGGAUGAAGGUCUUCGGAUUGUAAACUCCUGUUGCCCGGGACGAAACGCUCCGACCUAACACGUCGGAGUCUGACGGUACCGGGUGAGGAAGCCCCGGCUAACUCUGUGCCAGCAGCCGCGGUAAUACAGAGGGGGCUAGCGUUGUUCGGAAUUACUGGGCGUAAAGGGCGCGUAGGUGGCCUGUUAAGUCGAACGUGAAAUCCCCGGGCUCAACCCGGGAACUGCGUCCGAGACUGGCAGGCUGGAAUCCGGGAGAGGGAUGUGGAAUUCCAGGUGUAGCGGUGAAAUGCGUAGAUAUCUGGAGGAACACCGGUGGCGAAGGCGGCAUCCUGGACCGGUAUUGACGCUGAGGCGCGAAAGCCAGGGGAGCAAACGGGAUUAGAUACCCCGGUAGUCCUGGCCCUAAACGAUGAAUGCUUGGUGUGGCGGGUAUCGAUCCCUGCCGUGCCGAAGCUAACGCAUUAAGCAUUCCGCCUGGGGAGUACGGUCGCAAGGCUGA
rnacentral:rRNA from 1 species